CUGUCAAGAAGAUCAGAGGAGCUGAGACGAGAAAAGAAAAGGAGUCAAAAGCACCUUGUUGCCUCCUCCUGCAGGAUUUGUGUUGCUCUUCCCCUCCCUUCUUGAGCUCUAAGUAAACAGACUCCCCGGCUGAGGAAGGCCCCGGGCCCAACUCGAGCAGGCCAUAAAUAAGAGCCCUUCAGCCUCUGGCUCUCGGAUCAAUCUUUGCGGCUGAACCAGACCAGAGUCCCCUGCACCCCUCCUCGCCUCACCCUUCCUUUUUCUUGUCCCCUCUUUCCAUUGCCCUGAAGCUGUGCCGUGUGGCCCAUGACGGCUCUCUGAUGGCACAUAGAGAGGCGCUCAUCCCAGGGCACCUGACUUGCCAGAACAAGGGAGGCAAAGUCACCUGCCGAAAAGGAAGGCCAGGGCACUCCAGAAGGUGGAAGAGUUUUUAGGUAGCUCAGGUGGGGAAUGUGCUCAAAAUGGCCAUGAGAUGGUUAAAACUUUGCCCAGCUGAGGAGAGACAUAAAAGCCGUAAUGCGGCCUUUGGCAUGAUCCAGGGUUUUGCCAGACAGACUUGGCAUGUCUCUGCGAGGCAGAGGCUCCCACAGGUCAGUGAGGACGGCGGUGGGGUCAGGCCGGACAUGACUCAAGGCCACAGGACUGGGCGACGGGGGGCCCAGAGCAGCCAGGGGGCUGGUGGGGAAGCAGUGGGUGGUUGUCGGUGAGCAGGGGAUGGGGACGCGUGGUGGCCAGAGAGGGAGAACUCCCGGGGUGAGGACGCUGGACAGAUGUCAUCCCCGGCACUAAAGCUGGUCAGGAGUAAGAAGCAAGUUUCGCUGAACCCAGGGCUGGUGAUAAGGCCUUGGCAUGUGUUUUCUCAUUUCUCCUUCACGAUUUUUCCGCCACCUGUCAUGGGCCAGGUACCCCCCUGCUCCGAGGUCCUUUCACUUUCCCAUUGGCUUUUUGCCCAUCUCACCAUACCCGAGGAGACAGACGUAGAGACCAAGGAACAGAAGUAUCUUAGACUGUGGGUCUUCCCACUAAAAAGCCACAGCUCUUUGACAGUGUCUCACCUGGUCCUUCCGCUCAGAGAAGCUAGUGAGAGCGACAGAGCAACCGAGGUCAGGAUGCCACACGGGCCCAAACUUCUGGUUCCCCCGAAGCCGUUGCAGGGGGAGAAGGCAGUAAAGGGCUGGCGCUGGCCCCAGAAUGCACCGGGCAGCUCUCCUCCCCAUCCUCCCGCACCCCUUCACCCCCUGGCAUCGUGGAAGGCUCCCAGGAUUUGUGCUCAGAAGCCACUGUGCUGCUGCUUAUGAGCUAGAUGUCCCCAGAUGAGCCUUGUGUGUAUCUACAGGGAACGCCGUGUGCCGAGGGGGAACUCUCAAGCUGCCACGGGGACCAAAGGAGAUGGUGGCUGCCAGAGGGUGUGACCAAGCUCAAUUCUAGUGAUGGUGACAUCUAUUUGUUCAUUUGACAGGUAUCUAUCUAUGAAGCACCUGGCAUGCCAUCAUAUAGGUGCUGGGGUCAGAGCAAAGACAAGCCAGAGGCAAGCUCCCAGUGACAUUGCAAUCACCAAUGACUGUGGCGAGUGCCACAGUUCAGGGCUUAAGGGCAUUUGUUACCUUAGGGGUCACCCCCUCCUCUUAGUCCUAACUCAUAGCUGCAGUUUCUGACCUUUGGCCCUUGGGUAAGUGGGUCAAUAAAUACUGCCUUGAUGAGCAGACUUCACUGGGGGUAGAACAAAGGCCUGUAGAUGGAGGUCCCAGAGAGGUGGUCCUUUUCUGAAACUCAAGCCCUCCUGAAAUAGUCCUGGGGCAAGAUUGGGGACUCCCUGCCUUUGCUGCUGAAGCCCACAGACUUUGGGCUCCUUCUAGAAGAAACCUCACAUCUGCUCCCAUGUAAUAAGACUUCCUAUCAAUUAAAUGACCACAGGAGUACAAAUCCAGCAGGGGAGAGUAGUUAAAUCUUGCAUAAGUUGGCACUUUCAGGCAAACAGAGGAGCGAGAUCUUGGCAGACAUGCCCCUACCUAGUUCUGCGUAAUGGUUUGGAGCAUUUUAAUGUUUACCUAGCUGUUAGGCUCAGCCGGUUCUUGGUUUGGCUCUCCCUUACCCUCUGAUUUCCCAAGAAGAAUGUCUGUUCUGGUCCCAGCUUCUCCUCCUCAGGACGUCUGGAUCACUCGCUGGGAUCCUCGUCACAAAAGAAGUGAAACUUGAAUCGAAGGAUCUGCCCAGUACCGACCAGGUGACCUUGAGCAAGACACUUAACUUCUGGAGCCCAAGUUUAUUCAACUGUGAAACGGGAAUAAACACAUUCACGGAGUCUGUGUCAGGAUCAAAUUGCCAUCCUCACCGACCCUCCUAACCAAGUGAGCCCCUGCCACGUGCGAUGCAGCACGGGAAGCACUUUCUGAGCAUCAUCUCAUUUAAUCGUCGCCACGAUUCUCACACAGGAGCUCGCUGGCAUUACUUUCACGUUACAAGUACAUGGAAAGGAACUGCAGAAGGCUUAGAUGGCGUUCCCAAAGCCAUACAGCUGGGAGUGAGGGGGCAGCAAAUCAAACAUAUGCCAGGCCAACUUUCCACCCUGAACUCCUAAGUCUCUGCAGCUCUGCCUCAAAACAGGUCUCUGUGGACUCCCAGUUGCCCCAGAAGCUUCUCUUUUAUUCUCACUGUCUUCUGCCUUCUGUUUGGAUGACUGUAUUCACCUUCAGUUAAUACUUUCAUGGUUGCAGAGGAGUGGGGAGGCAUCUCCUCCAGGCACUGACUCUAACGCUUUCUUAGCAAACUGUUCUUGUCUCCUGGGCACCUCCAGACACCCCUGGACCCACGUGCAACAUGGCUGAUACCUGAUGUUUGGCGUAUCAAAUAGCUAGUGAGGGUCAUGACUGGGCCUGAGAACAGGAGACGGUGGCUCAUGGAAUGAACUCAACCUGUGCACUUUCCCAGGGCGUGGGGGAGGAAGUGACAGUGACCUGUUGCUUGGGACAAGUGCUGAUGGGUGGCCUGGUAUCUUGGGAAUGUGCUCAGAUGAUCAGGGGAUGUUUUUUCAGCCUCUCCCUCUCCUCCCCAUUCCUGGGAUGGUACUUUGGACUCCCCACUACUAUUCCCAGGCACAAAAGAGAAAUCCGA